rnacentral:hammerhead_ribozyme from 1 species
AUCGACUGAGGAGUCCCAAAUAAGACGAAACACACGUCCUACAU